GACAGGGGUCUCGAGCGUUACUCGGAAUCACUGGGCUUAAAGGGUGCGUAGGCGGGCCUGUAAGUGUCCUGUGAAAUCCCCCGGCUCAACCGGGGAACUGCGGGGCAUACUGCGGGUCUUGAGGAAGGUAGGCGCCGAGGGAACAGUAGGUGGAGCGGUGAAAUGCGUAGAUAUCUACUGGAACGCCGAUGGUGAAGACGCUCGGCUGGGCCUUUCCUGACGCUGAGGCACGAAAGCGUGGGGAGCAAACAGG
rnacentral:rRNA from 1 species